AUGGAGUCUCACUCUUGCCCAGGCUGGAGUGCAGUGGCAUGCUCUUGGCUCAUGGAAACCUCUGCCUCCCACGUUCAAGUGAUUCUCAUGCUUCAGCCUCCCCAGUAGCUGGGAUAACAGAAAAUCCCCCUGAGAAGAAGGCAGACCUUCCCUCCAGGGAGGUCAAGGAGGAUUGCACUGAUUCACUUCAUGCAAACAGCUUCCUGGGGAGGGAGCUUUUGCUCUCCCUGCUGUGUGGAGAGAUUGAGGAGCCUCCAAGGCUUGGCAGCAGUGGCAGAAACUGACAGUCCAAGAUGAACAAGAAAAACAAUUUACACCCUUUAAAAAACUUGAAUGAAAGUUUAAGUAUGUUAAAGAAAGGUAAGAAGAGUGAAGGAGUCUGGAGUUUUCACUCAUUGACUCACUCAUUUACUUACCCAGUCAUAUCCUUGCAGCUUGAUUUCCUGCAUUUCAGGAGGAAACAGUUGUUAGUUUAUGUAAAAUUCUGUAUAGCCCUCUACUAGAGCCUUAAUGCCUCAAAUUCUGUUUGCUAAAAUAGUGUUCACAAGUAGCUUGUGUUCACAAACUAAAGCCAAUGUUUCCCUAAGAUCAAAUUCUCUGCGACAAAUUUUAUCCCCAAAUUCGGGAAAAAAAUGAGAAGAAUGCAAAGAUUAAUCCUUGGAGGCCCUUAAAUAAGCCUUUCUUCCCCUAUUUUCUGUUUGCUUUUUAAGUUUUGUAUUCAGAGAGUAAUAGGUGAACACUUCCAUGGCUAAAACACAUGUAAAUUGAAACCAGUGUUCAGGCCAGUAAUUAAAGUGGGGUACUCGCUUGGUUAUUUACUUUCUAGCUCCCAGAUUGUGAGUUCAGUUCCUCAUCAAGCUGUACUUUUUUCUUUCUUCUUUUUCUUUUCUUUCCUUCUUUUUUUUUUUUUUUACAGAGAUUAAAGCAACCUGAAUUUAUAAUAGCAUCUUGUGAAAGGAGAGGGGUAAGAGCUACAGUGGUUUUAGUAAAUAAUGCACUUUGAUGUCUCCAACUUGAAAUCCAUAUUUUGAGAGCCCUGAUACAUCUAAAUAGUAUUUGGAAUAAAUUUUUAAGUCUCAAAGCUGGUGCCA
rnacentral:lncRNA from 13 species